AGUUCAAAUUCUGCCAGGUCCACUUUGCCUUUCAUCAUUUUUAGGGGUCAAUAAAAUAAAUACAAGUUGAACAGUUGGGUUGAUGUAACUGACUUACUCCUCCCCCAAGAUUGCUGCCCUUUGCCAAAAUUUGAAAUCAAUAUUAUUGUUAUUCUGAGGAUGUUAGAAUGUCAGAAUUGGUAUAGUGUUGAACAACAUGCCUUUUGUUGUUUUUUUAGCCUUCCUUUUUCAUUUUCAAUUAAUAUCUGACCAAUGUUGACUUCACUUUUCAUUAUUCUCAAGUCAGUACCAGCCAGUCAACAGACAAUAAUCCUACCAAAUUUUGCCUGUUAGAAAUCAUUACUUUUAGCAUUAUCAAAUCACUGGAAACUGGGUCAUCGGUUUCAUUUUGAUCUAUAUUUCAUUCAAGCUUCUUUAACAUUAGUUAAGGUAAAAAUAGUUCCCUCACCCAAUCUCUUCUUUGCCUUUCUCUCACUUUUUUCUGCAAAGGAAAGAUGUCAACCACUUCAAUUAAGGAGAGUUUUUAUAUGUGUUGGUACAUUUCACAUAUAAGCUUUAUGCAUGCAAUUGUAUUUAGACAUGUGUUUAUUGAGCUGUCAUGAAAGAAUAUAUAUUGCUCUCUAAAUAUCGAAACUUGUACAGCUGAGAAUUAUAAUUGGGAUAAUCUUAGAUAUACACCUAUCCAUAUAUUCAGAAGAAAUGUUUUACCCAAUGUUAACCAAAAAAAUUAACAAAUGAAAAACAAGACACAAAUUCUCUUCUAUAUACACAGAUGCAGCCAUGGCUGUAUGGUUAAGAAGUUUGCUUUGCUACUAUGUGGUUUCAGGUUCAAUCUCACUGCAUGGCACUUUGAGCAAGUGCUUUCUACUAUAAGCGCUAAGCCAACCAACACCUUGCAAAUGAAUUUGAUUGAUGGAGACUGUACAAAGCCUGCCAUAUAACACACACACACACAUGCACACACACAUUUAUAGAAUAGUUAGCAACAGGAAGGGCAUCCAUCUCUAAAACAACAUCUCAAUAAUUUAUUUCUUGAACCAUGUUAACAUGGAACAAUAUAUAUAAAAUAAAUGAGUGGUCAAGAGGUUAGGGUUCCUGGCUUUCGGCAAGGCAGCCUGGAUUUGAUACCCACCACAUAAACACUAUUAGCAUUUAAUAGAAGUGUCCCAGCAUGGUCACUAUCUCUGGCUGAAAGAAGUUAAAGUCAUGAUUGACUGAUCAGCAUUUGAAUGUAUCUUAGACAAAUAACUAUUGUUUUAGCCAAAUACCCUAUUAUAGACACUAUAUUAUAACUACUGAUAUAUGGUAACUAGUGACAGAAUCACUAGAGCAUUGUACAUAAUGCUUUGCAGUAUUUACUUCCAUCUCUUCACUUUCUAGAUUCAAAUUCUUACUGAUAGUCAACAGAAUAAAUGCCAACUGUUCUCAUACCCUAAUAACUGUAACCUUAUUCCCUUGUUAGUAAUUAUUAUUAUAACCCAAAAUCAAGAUGGCGAGCUAGCAGAACUAUCAGUGGGUUGGACAAAAUACUUAGUGGCAUUUUUCCUGACUCCUUAUGUUUUGAGUUUCAAUCCUGUCAUGGUCAACUUUGCAAUUCCUCUUUUCAGGGUCAAUAAGAUAAAGUAUGAAUCAAGUGCUGGAGUCAAUGUAAUCAAAUUACCCCCUCUCCUGGCCUUAGUCCAAAAUUAAAAAGAAUUAUUAUAAAGAGAAAUAUCUGAAAGUAACUGUGUUUGUGUACACCCAUGUGUGAAUGUAUUUCUCUAUAUGUUUGGUCAGAAUGGGAAUAUAUUUUAUACUGCUAAACUAUGAAAACCACCAAUAUCUCAAGUAAAUUAGGGACUAUACACUUGUUUGUUUAACAUGCUAGAAAUAGUAGCUGAAUUUCAUUCAUCAUACCCUUACCAUCUUAAAAAAUGUAAGGACACAUUGAUUAGUUUCUAAAGACAAUGUGUUGUGUGUGUAAAUAUAUUUUUUUGAUAUUUGGUAAAUAUUAUAAUAUUUUAUAUUAUAUACACUUAUCGCCAACAAUAUCAGGACAAUAUUGUGUUGUUAUGUACUCAUGUGUGUGAAUAUAUUUCUUGAUAUAUGAUAAAAAUGAUAACAAAUGAGAUUAUUCUAUAUCGUGCUUAGGUACACUACAACUCACAGGAAAAAGGGUAUAAGGGGGGAUAG